rnacentral:ncRNA from 1 species
CAAAGGUUUGGUCCUGACUUUACUAUCAACUUUAGCUAAAUUUACACAUGCAAGUAUCCGCACCCCUGUGAGAAUGCCCUACAGUCCCCCGCCCGGGAACAAGGAGCUGGUAUCAGGCACACUCAUUUAAUAGCCCAAAACGCCUUGCUUAGCCACACCCUCAAGGGAAUUCAGCAGUGAUAAAUAUUAAGCCAUAAGUGAAAACUUGACUUAGUUAAAGCUAAGAGGGCCGGUAAAACUCGUGCCAGCCACCGCGGUUAUACGAGAGACCCAAGUUGUUAGUUUCCGGCGUAAAGCGUGGUUAAAAACAAAUACACAUUAAAGCCGAAAAUUUUCAAAGCUGUUAUACGCACCCGAGAAUAAAAAGACCAAUAACGAAAGUAGCUUUAUUUAUUUUGAACCCACGAAAGCUAUGGCACAAACUGGGAUUAGAUACCCCACUAUGCCUAGCCGUAAACAUCGAUAGUAACAUACAAUACCUAUCCGCCCGGGUACUACGAGCAUCAGCUUAAAACCCAAAGGACUUGGCGGUGCUUUAGAUCCACCUAGAGGAGCCUGUUCUAGAACCGAUAACCCCCGUUCAACCUCACCCUUUCUUGCCUCCCCCGCCUAUAUACCACCGUCGUCAGCUUACCCUGUGAAGGCCCUAUAGUAAGCAAAAUUGGCAUAGCCCAAAACGUCAGGUCGAGGUGUAGCGUAUGAAAGGGGAAGAAAUGGGCUACAUUCACUUUCUCAGUGAACACGAAAGACAUAUUGAAAUAUAAGUCCAAAGGAGGAUUUAGCAGUAAGCAGAAAAUAGAGUGUCCUGCUGAAACCGGCCCUGAAGCGCGCACACACCGCCCGUCACUCUCCCCAAGCUUCCUCAAACCAAAUAAUUAAAAAUAUAUAAAUGCAAAGGGGAGGCAAGUCGUAACAUGGUAAGUGUACCGGAAGGUGCACUUGGAAAAAU